UAAUACGUAGGGGGCUAGCGUUGUCCGGAUUUAUUGGGCGUAAAGAGCGUGUAGGCGGCCAGGUAGGUCUGCUGUGAAAACUCGAGGCUCAACCUCGAGACGUCGGCGGAAACCAUCUGGCUAGAGUCCGGAAGAGGAGAGUGGAAUUCCUGGUGUAGCGGUGAAAUGCGCAGAUAUCAGGAAGAACACCCGUGGCGAAGGCGGCUCUCUGGGACGGUACUGACGCUGAGACGCGAAAGCGUGGGGAGCGAACAG
rnacentral:rRNA from 1 species